UACGGAGGGUGCAAGCGUUAUCCGGAUUCACUGGGUUUAAAGGGUGCGUAGGUGGGUUUGUAAGUCAGUGGUGAAAUCUCCAAGCUUAACUUGGAAACUGCCGUUGAUACUAUAAAUCUUGAAUGUUGUGGAGGUGAGCGGAAUAUGUCAUGUAGCGGUGAAAUGCUUAGAUAUGACAUAGAACACCAAUUGCGAAGGCAGCUCACUAACACAAAGAUUGACACUGAGGCACGAAAGCGUGGGGAUCAAACAGGA
rnacentral:rRNA from 1 species